AACGUAGGGGACAAGCGUUAUCCGGAUUUACUGGGCGUAAAGCGCCCGUAGGCGGCUUGAUAAGUUGGACGUGAAAGCUCCCGGCUUAACUGGGAGAGGCCGUUCAAAACUGCCAAGCUAGAGUGAGGAAGAGGAGAGCAGAAUUGCCGGUGUAGUGGUGAAAUGCGUAGAGAUCGGCAGGAACACCCAGGGGGAAACCAGUCGACUGGGCAUCUACUGACGCUGAGGUGCGAGAGCGUGGGGAGCGAACCGG
rnacentral:rRNA from 1 species